rnacentral:pre_miRNA from 1 species
GCGAGGUUGUAUAAAGAUCCAGUGCAAUUGCACGCGCACUCGAUGAUAUCAAUUGCGCGUGCAAUUGUACUAGAUCUUUAUGCAACCCC